rnacentral:rRNA from 1 species
CCUACGGGGGCUGCAGUGGGGAAUAUUGGACAAUGGGCGAAAGCCUGAUCCAGCCAUGCCGCGUGUGUGAAGAAGGCCUUCGGGUUGUAAAGCACUUUCAGUGGGGAAGAAAGCCUUGGGGCUAAUACCCUCGAGGAAGGACAUCACCCACAGAAGAAGCACCGGCUAACUCCGUGCCAGCAGCCGCGGUAAUACGGAGGGUGCGAGCGUUAAUCGGAAUUACUGGGGGUAAAGCGCGCGUAGGCGGUCUGAUAAGCCGGUUGUGAAAGCCCCGGGCUCAACCUGGGAACGGCAUCCGGAACUGUCAGGCUAGAGUGCAGGAGAGGAAGGUAGAAUUCCCGGUGUAGCGGUGAAAUGCGUAGAGAUCGGGAGGAAUACCAGUGGCGAAGGCGGCCUUCUGGACUGACACUGACGCUGAGGUGCGAAAGCGUGGGUAGCAAACAGGAUUAGAUACCCUUGUAGUC